rnacentral:rRNA from 1 species
UGCGUAGGCGGAUCAAUAAGUCAGUGGUGAAAUCUCUCGGCUCAACCGGGAAACUGCCAUUGAUACUGUUAGUCUUGAGUUCGGUUGAGGUAGGCGGAAUGUGUAAUGUAGCGGUGAAAUGCUUAGAUAUUACACAGAACACCAAUUGCGUAGGCAGCUUACUAGACCGACACUGACGCUGAGGCACGAAAGCGUGGGGAGCAAACAGGAUUAGAUACCCUGGUAGUCC